rnacentral:misc_RNA from 1 species
UUUUUUUGGUGGUGGCAGAUUUGCCAUGAGCUGAUCUCUACGGUGUCGUUCUUUGCGUUGGUUGACUGAAAUACCUUUAAAAAGACUAUAAUUGCUUUCGAUGAGUGUUGGAGUUGAAGGGUGAGAUAGAUGGAGCUUAUGUGUCUAUUUACCAGACAUUCCUGUCUAGUUCCGGGGAUUUUUAUUCUUCGUGACCAAUUUGCCCUUCGUUUGUUCCCCUAUUUGCUUUCUCUACUUCUGGCUUCUUUACCCAUUUUCCUGUUUCUCUAUUGGCUAUAUCGGUUAAAGAAUAGUCCUAUAUUUUUCCCCCUGGUUCAUAAGCUACCUCUUCUUGUCAGCGGCUGAGGAGGACAAAUCUGCCGGUUUAAUGGGCUUUAGCUCUCGUUUCAGGGUCGAUCUCCCCAAUAAACGGUGAAUUACCGUAGGCAUGCACUAUCCAGUGUCCACACCUUAAUGAAAAAUUUUUAGGGACCAAAAUAACCCCUUGCACUUUAAGAUUUUACUUUCACACGAGGUCAGCAGCUUGAAAGUGGCUAACGUUUCUUCUCGAAAUCUCGCCUAUUUUCCGGUCACCUGUCAUUCUUGUUCUAACCUUUUAAUAGACCAAAUCGCCCUCCGAAGCCUCUAAUGGCAGUAGAGAGGACAGUUUUGUCAGAUGCAAGAUAUCCCUUACCAUUAGCCAUUUAUAACCAUCUUGCCAACGCUAAGAACCCACGAAGCUUCCGACGCACGAACACUACCUUUAAUUUUCUUUUAUUUUUUUUCCCUUGUGACCAAAAAAAAAAAAA